rnacentral:rRNA from 1 species
CCUAACACAUGCAAGUGGAGGGGUAGAGAGAAUUAGCUUGCUAAUUUUCUUGAGACCGGCGCACGGGUGCGUAACGCGUAUGCAACCUACCUUUUACAGGGGGAUAGCCCGGAGAAAUCCGGAUUAAUACCCCAUAGUAUUGUUGAAUCACCUGGUUUAACAAUUAAAGUUUCGGCGGUAAAAGAUGGGCAUGCGUCCUAUUAGCUAGAUGGAGUGGUAACGGCACCCCAUGGCAACGAUAGGUAGGGGUCCUGAGAGGGAGAUCCCCCACACUGGUACUGAGACACGGACCAGACUCCUACGGGAGGCAGCAGCGAGGAAUAUUGGACAAUGGUCGAGAGACUGAUCCAGCCAUGCCGCGUGCAGGAAGACGGCCCUAUGGGUUGUAAACUGCUUUUGUACAGGAAGAAUAAGCCUUACGUGUAGGGCGAUGACGGUACUGUACGAAUAAGCACCGGCUAACUCCGUGCCAGCAGCCGCGGUAAUGCGGAGGGUGCAAGCGUUAUCCGGAAUCAUUGGGUUUAAAGGGUCCGUAGGCGGAUCUAUAAGUCAGGGGUGAAAGUUUGCCGCUUAACGGUAAAAUUGCCUUUGAUACUGUAGGUCUUGAAUACGUGUGAAGUGGUUAGAAUGUGUAGUGUAGCGGUGAAAUGCAUAGAUAUUACACAGAAUACCGAUUGCGAAGGCAGAUCACUAACACGUCAUUGACGCUGAUGGACGAAAGCGUGGGGAGCGA